GAAUAUGAAGCGAUUUAUUGCAAUUAGUUUCGACCUAAUACUAGGUAUUAACCACCCUUAUUCU
rnacentral:tRNA from 1 species